rnacentral:rRNA from 1 species
GACGAACCGUGCGAACGUUGUUCGGAAUCACUGGGCUUAAAGGGCGCGUAGGCGGACCAUCAAGUCGGGGGUGAAAUCUUUCAGCCCAACUGGAAAAGGGCUUCCGAUACUGGUGGUCUCGAGGGAGGUAGGGGUCGAGGGAACUAAUGGUGGAGCGGUGAAAUGCGUAGAUAUCAUUAGGAACGCCGGUGGCGAAAGCGCUCGACUGGACCUCUUCUGACGCUGAGGCGCGAAAGCCAGGGGAGCAAACGGG